rnacentral:rRNA from 1 species
GACGGAGGAUGCAAGUGUUAUCCGGAAUCACUGGGCGUAAAGCGUCUGUAGGUGGUUCGAAAAGUCCACUGUUAAAAAAUUGAGGCUUAACUUCAAAGAUGCCGUGGAAACUUUCAAACUAGAGUAUGGUAGGGGUAGAGGGAAUUUCCAGUGGAGCGGUGAAAUGCGUAGAUAUUGGAAAGACCACCGAUGGCGAAGGCACUCUACUGGGCCACUACUGACACUGAGAGACGAAAGCUAGGGGAGCAAAUGGGAUUAGAACGU